UGGGGAAUAUUGGGCAAUGGGGGAAACCCUGACCCAGCAACGCCGCGUGAAGGAAGAAGGUCUUCGGAUCGUAAACUUCUAUCCUUGGUGAAGAUAAUGACGGUAGCCGAGAAGGAAGCCCCGGCUAACUACGUGCCAGCAGCCGCGGUAAUACGUAGGGGGCAAGCGUUGUCCGGAAUGAUUGGGCGUAAAGGGCGCGUAGGCGGCCUGGUAAGUCUGGAGUGAAAGUCCUGCUUUUAAGGUGGGAAUUGCUUUGGAUACUGCUGGGCUUGAGUGCAGGAGAGGUAAGUGGAAUUCCCGGUGUAGGGGUGAAAUGCGUAGAGAUCGGGAGGAACACCAGUGGCGAAGGCGACUUAAUGGACUGUAACUGACGCUGAGGCGCGAAAGUGUGGGGAGCAAACA
rnacentral:rRNA from 1 species